AGAGAGACUCAGGGGAAAUUAGAGCAUGAUGGCGGCCGAGGUCGCUUGGCGCAACCAUCGUCUUUUUUCUUUAUUUUUAGCUCAUUAGUGCCUUGCCUCGGCGCUGUUUCCCUAAGCUCCUCUCUCCAACCAGUACUGCCCUAUAACGGAAUCCAUACGUGCCGGCUCCUUGAUUUAUCCCCUCCGAAGUGCUGAGUGUGGGCUGGUUGUGCGUCAUUGGACUGUCAGGAUGUCACUCCCCAGUCAAAUCUUCAAGCUAUUGGUGGAACAGCAAGAAAGCCCGUCCAUCAACAAGGGCUAAUACCAUUGGUUUGACUCCACUGUGUUAUUUCCUGGCACCUUAUUGGGCAAAUAGGUGCGUCAGAUCCGGAUUCGCUCUGCUACGGUUAAUUGUUUACUGGGGAUUUGGGGUCAACUCUGGUUGUUUGGCCAGUAGUUGACGAUAAUAGUGACUCCCUUGCCUAUUUUGUGCCAAGUAUUGGGCUGCUUUCUUCACAAACAUUAUCUGGUUAAACCUGGGAGUAAUGCAGUAUCCAGUUUUUAUAGAUGGGAAAUUAAGGCUGGCGAGAGCUUAGAAAACUUGCCCAAGGUCAUCCAGAUACAGAGUCGUUGGUGGGCCUGGCAUCUGGUCCUGGGUCAAACUGCAGAGACUUCACUCUUUUUAUUAUGCUUUAGUGCCUCCACCUUAGACGAUGUACUUGUCAGCCAACCUAGCAUCUUAAAAACGUUUCAUUUGGAACUCAAAGUCUUCAGUCAGUUUCUAGAAGUGACUUUGUUGGGGACUUACUAUGGAAAGGUUGUCAUUGCCUCCACCACAUCUUCCUCCCCAGGACCCAUUCCUCUCCCCUUUAAGGUAGACAUUUCUGCCUCCUUUUAUGCGAAGCCUAGGCACCACUCGCAACCCCUGACCAACCAUCUACAACUCAUUCUUUGGAGAGAGUCCUCAAGAGCUGGAAAACUAGGAGAAAUCAAGUCUAAAGAGAGAGACAGAAUAAAUCGUCUUAGAAAUGAAUAAUUUAUUGCAUGCAAAGAGAACAGCCCUUCAGCUCCUGGAAAUCUUCCAGGAUAGUUGAUGCUGAGCAAGACGUGUGCUCCUGGCUGGUGGCCACUGGGUUCUUUCCCUAUAGCAGCAUUCAUCGAAGUGAAUCCAACAUUUCAGCCAGAGGAGGGCAGGACGCUUAGGACCCAUUGCCAGUGAGCUUUUGCGACCGAAAUGAUCUCCAGGAGCACAACGCUGGACUCUAGCCCACAUUCCAUCUUGGGUAAUUAACAUUUUACCGUCCCAAAUCCCCAUCCCCUGUAGCUUCAGUGGGAUCACCGCCCUUGUUUCACUUCCUGAUCCAAGCUGUUGUGUAACCUCCUUGGCACUGCUUUAAUAAUAAAACAACCAUUGUAACAUAG